rnacentral:lncRNA from 1 species
CUAAAACGUCAUAAAAAUGUGGAAUAAAAACUAAUUUCAUUCCACUUUCAGAUAUAUUGAAGAUGUCUUGUCACUUACAUUUCAGUGAGUGCUUGUAUCGGAUAUAUCACAUUGAACACAGAGAUAUGAAUACUACCGCAUAACAUGAUGGUUUGGUUCGGAUAUAUCACGUUGAAUUUAAAAAUAAGGAUACUACCGCACACAAUGAUGACGGUACUCUUUGUUAACUAUUAUUCGUGUGUUUCUCUGUUCUAUAUCUUCUCCUAUUUAUUUGUGUUGUAGUCCUGUCAUGUUGUCAUUUAACAUUGCAAUAAUAGCGGGAGGUUUGGCAUGCCACAAAACCAGGUUCAACCAACCAUUUUUUUCUUGAAAUGUUCUGUACCAAGUCAGGAUAAUUGCCAUCGUUAUAUUAUAGUUCAUUUCUGUGUGUGUUACAGUUUAAUGUUGUGUUUUUGUUGUGUCGUAGUUCUUCUCUUAUACUUGAUGUGUUUCCCUCAGUUUUAGUUUGUAACCCGGAUUUGGUUUUUUUUUUCUCAAUCGAUUUAUGAAUUUCGAACAGCGGUAUACUGUUGUUGCCUUUAUUUGUAAAAUUACCGCACACCGUUAAAAAGAAACGUUCCUAGAACGUUAACAUGUAACGUUUCAUUUUAGCGUACUCACAACGUUCGUGUAACGUUAUGAUCCGCAAUAACCUAACAGGAACCAAUCCACAACGUUCAUUGAACAU